GUCAUGGACAGCAAGGAGGAGCAAGUCACAUCUCUUGAAUGGCAGCAGGCCAAGAGAGAGCCUGUGCAGAGAAACUCCCGCUUUCAAAACCAUCAGAUCUUGUGAGACCCAUUAAAUAUCAGGAGAACAGCAGGGGAAAAACAUGCCCCCAUGAUUCAAUCAUCUCUCACUGAAUUCCUCUCACAACACAUGGGAAUAUGGGAGCUACAAGAUGAGAUUUGUAUGGGGACACAGAGACAAAUCAUAUCAUCAGCCCGUGAUUCAUUUCUGCAUUUCAGAAUCCUUCAUGCCUUCUGUUUCUGGGAUACACAUACCCAAUGCCACCUUACAUUUCCCCUACUCAAAGAAACUUUGGACAAGAGAAAAGGAAAAGACUAUUUUUAGAAAAAGAAAUUCUUGGCUACAAGGAGACCCUCUGCUCAAGCUACUGAUCUGUAUCUGCAUAAGAUAUAUAAAAGAUCAUUUGUAACUUCAAGUUACAAAGAAGAUUAGAAAACUGAGCAACUCCCAGGUUUUCUUUUCAUUUUUUUCUUCUUACAUACAGAUUAAAGGUAAAAUAAAAGCAUUAAAUCAAAAUGUGUCUGAGGUCUUCAUUUUGUGCUAUAGAUUUUGUUACGUGAUAGUUGUAUUUCCAUAUAAAAAGGUGUACUUACUGAAAUAAAAGAAGAAACCUAUAAUUAUGAGAGGAUGUCACUUAGAGUGUGGUUCCACAGCAAGGAAUAUUAGGAAAAAUAUUUCAAC
rnacentral:lncRNA from 1 species